CAUCUACUCCCUCCGUUCGGAAUUAUUUGUCGCGGAAAUGGAUGUAUCUAGAUGAAUUUUAGUUCUAGAUACAUCCAUUUCCGAGACAAGUAAUUCCGAACGGAGGGAGUAUAUG
rfam:Triticum aestivum genome assembly, contig: Triticum_aestivum_CS42_TGACv1_scaffold_361090_4DS